rnacentral:rRNA from 1 species
UGGGGAAUAUUGGACAAUGGGCGAAAGCCUGAUCCAGCCAUGCCGCGUGUGUGAAGAAGGCCUUUUGGUUGUAAAGCACUUUAAGUGGGGAGGAAAAGCUUAUGGUUAAUACCCAUAAGCCCUGACGUUACUCACAGAAUAAGCACCGGCUAACUCUGUGCCAGCAGCCGCGGUAAUACAGAGGGUGCAAGCGUUAAUCGGAAUUACUGGGCGUAAAGCGCGCGUAGGUGGUUAUUUAAGUCAGAUGUGAAAGCCCCGGGCUUAACCUGGGAACUGCAUCUGAUACUGGAUAACUAGAGUAGGUGAGAGGGGAGUAGAAUUCCAGGUGUAGCGGUGAAAUGCGUAGAGAUCUGGAGGAAUACCGAUGGCGAAGGCAGCUCCCUGGCAUCAUACUGACACUGAGGUGCGAAAGCGUGGGUAGCAAACAGGAUUAGAUACCCUGGUAGUCCACGCCGUAAACGAUGUCUACCAGUCGUUGGGUCUUUUAAAGACUUAGUGACGCAGUUAACGCAAUAAGUAGACCGCCUGGGGAGUACGGCCGCAAGGUUA